CUUUACCAGCAUCUCACUGCUGCGCCUCAGGGCAUCCCGGAGUUUCCCAAAGGAACCGCUGCGCCUCAAGGAGCCACUGCCAUCCUGCAGGUGGACAGGCUUGCCUCUAGGCCCCGCUGGCCACCUAGGCUCCCAGCCCGACCCGGCCCAGGCCCCGGACUCACCCCAUUCCACUCAGCUGUAGGUCCCACGUCCUCGAGUUGACUGUGGGGCUGUGGAUGGGACAGUCUCAAACUCCAUGUUCCCCCAGACCCAGGGCCCAUCCUGGCACCCAGCCCACAGUGGGCCCUGAGGAAGCAUGGACCUCCGGGGUAGCCAGAAUCCAUUCCUUCCCAUGUCAAGCCCUGUGCUGGGCCCACCCAGCCUCUUCUGUCCUGGGGAAAUCACCCCAGGGCUGGGGACCUGGCCCCAGGGCCCUCAUGGGAUGUUGUCACCAGGACCAAAAGCUGGGAGACCCAGAGCCAGAGAAUUAGGCUGAGAAUUGGGAGACAGAGCCUUCUUGGGACAGGUGACCGGCCUUGUACCAGCUGCCGUAUUCCCCAUAGGGGGCGCUGUCCCGGCGCUUAUCCUGGAGGAAAGAAUGGUCACAAGAGAGAUGAGCAGAACAGACCCUUGCACCUCAGGCCACAGCCCAAGACAUGUGCUAGGCCUGAAUGAUGGGCCAGGCUCCGAGGGACUGAGCCAAACUCUUUCUCAUGAGCGCGGGUGAGGAUCUCCUUGUACAAGGUCUCCGCAUCCUGGUACUUGCCCUGCUUCAGGUAGCAGGAAGCCUGGAAGCGGGAGACCCAGAGAGUGAGCGGGAUGCAUGCAGCCAAGCCUUUUUCUCUCCUUCUUCCCCAACCUCAUCCCUGCCUCCCUCCUUCCCAUCCUCCAGCUCCUCUCAGCCCCAAGGUACCAGGUUGUUCUUGGUCUUGGCCACAUUGGGGUCAUCGGGCCCGAGGCGUGUAGCAUAGAUCUCCAGUGCCCGCCGAUAGUAAUAUUCCACCUCCUCAGCUUUGCCCUGGUUCUGGCACAGCAGGGCCAGGACUGCCAGGUUGUUUAGUGUCGCAGCCACCUGGAGGUGGGAGAACGGAAGCUUCUUGACUCAGGCCCUGCAGGACUCUGGGACCUGCAGGGGAUGGGGCACAGCCCCCACCUCCCACCCAACCCUCACUCACGGCUGGGUGGUCCUUGCCCAGUGUUUUCUCCCGGAUGGCCAGAGCAUCAUUGAGCAGGUGGGCAGCCUCCUUGUACUUGUUCUGAUCCCUGGGAGCAGGUAGGAGCAUGGUCAGGGCUGUCCUCCAGCUCAAGGCCCUCCCCAAUGGUCUGCAAUCCCUGUGGUCACUCCUGU
rnacentral:lncRNA from 1 species